CGCGGGGAGAAGGAUUUCUACAUCAAGGAUACACAAGUCUCUAAAAAGAAGGAAAAACAAUUACAUUGUUUGGGGAAGACUGCAGAGAGAAGUUUCUUCCUGAAUAAUCCUGCAGACCCUUCGUAGAUUUCAUGGCAUUAAAGUUUCUGGAACUGGGGGUUCCUUCUCCUCCUAGCAGAUGGUACUGGACAUAAGCACGAUUUCCUUAAGGCCUCCAGGUGCCGGGCAGCUGAUUGCUUAUGCCAGCUUUCCCCCAAGGGUGGCAUCUAGACUCAGUUUGUCCCCAUCACAAGACUGUUCCGUAGUUCCUCUGUAAAAGGUAAAGUAGUGAAGGUC